rnacentral:rRNA from 1 species
ACAGCAGUAGCCGCGGGAAAACGAAGGGUGCAAGCGUUACUCGGAAUUACUGGGCGUAAAGCGUGCGUAGGUGGUGGUUUAAGUCCGUUGUGAAAGCCCUGGGCUCAACCUGGGAAUUGCAGUGGAUACUGGGUCACUAGAGUGUGGUAGAGGAUAGUGGAAUUUCCGGUGUAGCAGUGAAAUGCGUAGAGAUCGGAAGGAACAUCUGUGGCGAAGGCGACUAUCUGGGCCAACACUGACACUGAGGCACGAAAGCGUGGGGAGCAAACAGGAUUAGAUACCCCAGUAGUCCCUGUCUCUUAUAC